rnacentral:rRNA from 1 species
GACGUAGGGCGCAAGCGUUGUCCGGAUUCAUUGGGCGUAAAGAGCUCGUAGGCGGCCACUCAAGUCGAAUGUGAAACCUCGAGGCUUAACCUCGAGCCUGCAUUCGAUACUGGGCGGCUAGAGUCUGGUAGGGGGAUCUGGAAUUCCUGGUGUAGCGGUGGAAUGCGCAGAUAUCAGGAGGAACACCGGUGGCGAAGGCGGGUCUCUGGGCAGUAACUGACGCUGAGGAGCGAAAGCGUGGGGAGCGAACAGG